ensembl:snRNA U6 U6 spliceosomal RNA
CUGCUUGCUUCAGCAGCACAUAUACUAAAUUUGGAAUGAUAUAGUGAAGAUUAGCAUGGCCCCUGUGCAAGAAUGAAACAAAUCAUCCCAUAAUACUGGUAUAUUUAA